rnacentral:rRNA from 1 species
GGGAGGCAGCAGUAAGGAAUAUUGGACAAUGGGCGCAAGCCUGAUCCAGCCAUCCCGCGUGAAGGAUGACUGCCCUAUGGGUUGUAAACUUCUUUUAUUAGGGAAGAAACCCUUUCAUUUAUGAGAGGCUGACGGUACCUAAAGAAUAAGCACCGGCUAACUCCGUGCCAGCAGCCGCGGUAAUACGGAGGGUGCAAGCGUUAUCCGGAAUCACUGGGUUUAAAGGGUAUGCAGGCGGUUAUAUAAGUCAGACGUCAAAGGCUGUGGCUAAACCACGGUACGCGUUUGAAACUGUAUAACUUGAAUAUGUUUGAAGUGUGUAGAAUGCGUCAUGUAGCGGUGAAAUGCAUAGAUAUGACGUAGAAUACCAAAAGCGAAGGCAGCACACUAAGGCAUUAUUGACGCUGAGAUACGAAAGCGUGGGUAGCGAACAGGAUUAGAUACCCUGGUAGUCCACGCCCUAAACGAUGCUAACUGGUCAUUUGAGCUAUAGGUUCAAGUGACUGAGGGAAACCAUUAAGUUAGCCACCUGGGGAGUACGUUCGCAAGAAUGAAACUCAAA